CUGGCAGUAAACGGUGCACGUUUGGUGUGGGCGCAAUCGACCGCGUCCGCGCCGGAGCUAACGCGUUAAACGUGCCGCCUGGGAANCGCGAAGAACCUUACCUGGUCUUGACAUGCAUUGUGUCUACGGUGAAAGCCGUAUAGGGUAGCAAUACCCGCUUUGCACAGGUGC
rnacentral:rRNA from 1 species